AUCGCUUCUCGGCCUUUUGGCUAAGAUCAAGUGUAUUAUCUGCAUUUACAAUUAAUUAACUGAGACUGUAC
ensembl:snRNA U2 U2 spliceosomal RNA